UAUGCAUUCCAGUCAUUAUAAAGUCAAUUAAAUACGAUAAUAACGAAAGUUCACAGCGUGAUCAGUAUAGGAUAUGAUAGCCAAACACCAACUAAGCGCUCCACUGAGUGAGUGUACCCACGCGGUGGCGACCCGAGCCGCACCACGCUCUCGCCCGAGACGGAAACGUUUUGGUAUAGAAAAUGCGCGCGUCAUUUGAAAAUAUUUUUGGUCACGACUGCCGCGGUCGUAAGGUCAGAGCAGGUCGUAAGUACCGAUGGACGUAAGUCCAAGCAGUCGUAAGUAGGGGAGCACCUGUAUAUGCCUCAUAAAUAAUGGGAAACCAAUAUAUUUAUUGCAGGUACUGUAGUUAAUGAUGCCAACUUAAUGUAUUAAAGUGAUAUUCCAGAAUUGAAUUUGGAAAGAUCAAUACGGUAUUUUAGCACUAAGAAUUCAUUUCUUGAGAAACUGAUUUGCUACAAUGUUGAAAGGUUUCCAAUUGUUCCAGUAUAAAUUUUAAAAGUAAUUGUCAAUGCAUCUUGGUAAAGGGUUUAAACCAGUCAAAAAAAAUCCUAUAUCCUUCUAAUAUAAUUUUUCUUUUUCAUGGGACGAUAGAGGGCGCACUAGGUACUAUAUCUGAGAUGGUGGGACCACCAUCAGCAGUGACCUAACAAACUUAGGGAGAUUCAAGCGAGAUGAUAGAGUGGUACCAGACUUCCCUACCAUCUACCAGGCGCUCUUCAACAAGCCUCAGGUGCCCACGUCCAACCACAUGUUUCUCGUCAAGCUUCCAAAGCAGCCUACAAGAAAAGAAGUUACCUAAAAUGUAGGAAAUCUGCUAAAGUCCUUAAUGACUGGGAAUAUUUACCCAUCAUGGACUUGACCAUAAAGAAUAAACUUGCUUGGUUUCAUUGAUGAUAAAAUAAUCAGAAGUAGGUUUUUUAUACAGUAGUUUGUGAUGAACCAAAGGAAGAAAAUUAUACAGGAUAAGUAGUGCAUUGGCAACUGAGUAAGGGAAAAAAAUUCAUUUUGUAUUAUGUAGAACAGUAACCACCUGAGUGAUCACUUAUAAGGACAGCAAAUCUUUAACAUUAAGUGACCUGUAUUGUAUUCAGGAUUACUGGAUUAAUUUAGAAUAUUGUACAAAACUACCAUUCAAUUUAUAUAAAAUAAAUAUUGCAUUUCUUUUAUGUCUAUUUCUAUUAUUAUAUAAAGUAUAUACCCUGUACACCAAAAGAACUUAUUCUUGGUUCUUUAGGGAUUUUUAUGGGGGAAAAGGAUUUGUAUCUUUAUAUUAUAAUUUUAAGAUUUUUUUUUUUAUGUUUGAUAUCUUUUUCUUCUUUUUUUUCAUUUAUGAUGUAAAAAUGUAUUACCUAAGAAAAUAAAUAUGAGGUUCAUGUGGUCUUCCUGUUAUAGUCUGGUUAUCAUGAAUGAUUUUUAACUACAUCUAGUUACUAGGCAACUUACAAGUGUUUACUGUUUGUUGCAAACAGAAAUAAACCCUCACCUCUGCUA